AUUUGGUGGCAUGCAGUAUGUUUACAGUGUUGCACAGCCAUCAGCACUGGCCGUCUCCUGCCCCUUUCCAUGAUCCCCACACUGACUCCCCACCCUCUGCCUUGGGAAACUCUAGCACUUCCUCUCCCUUGUUUUUGUUACAUUUUGGUAACUAUAGAAUUUCCAGGACUCAUUCUGCAUAGUCCCAAGAGAGAGAAACAGCACCUGCAACCCUAUGCACAUCGCCCUGGGAGGCCAAGGGGAAGGGUGAAAGGGGCCAUGAAACAAGGGGCGGGAAGGGAGCCAGGCGCCACCGCGCAGGGGAGGGUGAAGGCAGGUGGCCUCACACCAAAAGAAAACUUACAGAAGUCUUAGCUGGUUCUGCUGCUUUAACCAUUUUUCUGGGGUUUUGUGUCUCUUAUUUCAUCUUUCCUCUAGUGAAGAGCUACAAGUUUAUUUUUUGAAUGUUUUUAAUUGAUUCUUCCUCUUACCCAUAUGUUCAUUUCCAAAAACUUAUUUUCCAUGCUGAAAUAAGAAAUACUGUUUUUAAAAAGUCUGUUGUGCAAAUGUCAAUUCUUGUGAACAUGUGAUAUACGGCAUAUCAAUCUCUGCAGAGCUGGUGUGAAGCCCAGCAACUGGGUCCAGGGACAGGAAGGGACAUGGGGAGAGCAGUUCCUAGAGGUUUCACUUUUUCUGCUUGCUUGGUGUAGCUCCUGCAGACCUUGUCCAGGGUUGACCGUGGGGCAAGAGCAGCAGGGAAGAGGCUGAAGACCCGGGGAGACUGCGGAGGAGCUGGCAGAAGGCAGGGGGAUUUAUUAGAGCCUUGAUUCAGAGCACACCCUACUAAUUGCUGUGAGUGAUUAUGUUUAUGGACCUGUGUUUAAUAUUUGGAUAGAUUUUGCUCUAAAACCUCAGUGACUUAACUCUUUGUAAUCACCCCUGAAUGAAGGAAUCGCCGAAGCAGUAUCAUCUUGAUAUGCUUGCUUAACAGAAUUUGGCCGAGCCAACAUAUUUGUGUUCUACCUGGUGGUCUGAACCAGGCUGGCUUUAAAUAAAAAGGCAAAUCACAGAAAAAGAACUGCAAAUGGCCGAUAAAAAUGUGCAGCUCUCCCAUCUAAUUAACAGUAAAGGAAGGGAAACGCACCGACGUGGUCUCAGUUUCACCCUCUCCGUGUAGGCGCUGAGGAGAGUGACAACACCCAGUGCUGGGGUAGGCAGAGGGUGCGUCUCCUCACAGGCAGGCAGGCACUGGCUUCACAUGGCCAGUCAUGUGGUGCCACUGAAGAAAAUGCAAGACACACAGCCCCGUGUUAAUCAUCGUACUGCUGUCAAUUUGCCUGGCAGAAAUAGAAACAUCAGUUUGAGGAUAUUUACUGCAAUCCUUAUAUAUGAUAAGGACAAAACUAUAAACACUGCAGUGUGCACCCACGGGGAUGGCGGAACAGAGUGUGGGCCUCGUGCCACGGAGUAUGCCCCUAUUUCAAAUGAGCUGGAUCUGUGUCCUGCGAGGGGUAUUUAAGACACGCUGGUUAAAAAGCAGGCUCUGGAGUGAUGUGGCUAUGGUGUAAUGCUGCUUUUGUUUUGACAAUGAGCAGACAAUGGCUUUAUAUGGACUUUAUGUUUAACAAGCAUAAGGUAUGGCUACCAGAAUUACUGCAGGAUGAGGAGGAGGAGGUAAUGAACAUUUUCUGUAUAUGCCUUGUGCUGUAUUGUUUGACCUGACAAAAUGAAUAUAUAUAUAUUUAUAUAUAUAUAUAUAUAAAUAUAUAUAUUCAUUCAUUAAUAAUUGGGAGAGUUUUCUGUAUCAUAGUUAUGUUUUAGGAAAUGGGGUGGACAUUUAGAAUUUAUGUGUAAUACAUUACUAUUUUCUCCUUUAAAAUAAUGAGCAGUAGGCUUCCAGUCAGGGCUCCACCUAGAAAUCUGAUUUACAGUGACAGCGUCUGCCAUGAGCCAGGGAAGCCUGGACAGGACGCUCUCCCCUGUCCAACAGACUCUUCCAAAAGACACCUCCUUGAGAUUUAGAAAACUCUACUUUGUUUCCCCCAAAUUCAAUAUAAGCAGAUUUUUUAUUAGAAAAGUAAAGUUUUCUGUGACUCAAUUUGUGACCAUAUCUUAUUAAGGUUAAAAAAACAGGAUGUGGCUGGGCACAGUGUCUCAGGCCUGUAGUCUCAGCACUUUGGGAGGUCAAGGAGGGUGGUUUGCUUGAGUCCAGGAGUUCAAGACCAGCCUGGGCAAUAUGGCAAUUGGUAUUAUGCUGACUUUUCUUUGUUUAAACACUCACCUAUAUGAUUUGACAACAUUUAAAUCUGGAUUUUCCUUAUCUAAGUUGAAAAAAACAUAAACCCAACAUCUUGAUUGUAGGUCGGCCCUUUCUUCUAAUUUACGUUUUCAUUUCCAGAGGUCUCAUUUUCCUGAUUUGUAAAAUGGCUACAGCGAUGCUGAGGGUAUUCAAAAGAAUCUGUGGCUCCUCAAGAGUAAUUCUAGUUAGGCUCCUUUUUUGGGGUAACUUGAUAUGCAAGAGCAUAACAGACGAGUAAACU
rnacentral:lncRNA from 1 species